rnacentral:rRNA from 1 species
GAUGAACGCUGGCGGCGUGCCUAAUACAUGCAAGUCGAGCGAAUGGAUUAAGAGCUUGCUCUUAUGAAGUUAGCGGCGGACGGGUGAGUAACACGUGGGUAACCUGCCCAUAAGACUGGGAUAACUCCGGGAAACCGGGGCUAACACCGGAUAACAUUUUGAACCGCAUGGUUCGAAAUUGAAAGGCGGCUUCGGCUGUCACUCAUGGAUGGACCCGCGUCGCAUUAGCUAGUUGGUGAGGUAACGGCUCACCAAGGCAACGAUGCGUAGCCGACCUGAGAGGGUGAUCGGCCACACGGGGACUGAGACACGGCCCAGACUCCUACGGGAGGCAGCAGUAGGGAAUCUUCCGCAAUGGACGAAAGUCUGACGGAGCAACGCCGCGUGAGUGAUGAAGGCUUUCGGGUCGUAAAACUCUGUUGUUAGGGAAGAACAAGUGCUAGUUGAAUAAGCUGGCACCUUGAUGGUACCUAACCAGAAAGCCACGGCUAACUACGUGCCAGCCGCCGCAGUAA